GAUGAACGCUGGCGGCGUGCCUAAUACAUGCAAGUCGAGCGAACGGACGAGAAGCUUGCUUCUCUGAUGUUAGCGGCGGACGGGUGAGUAACACGUGGAUAACCUACCUAUAAGACUGGGAUAACUUCGGGAAACCGUAGCUAAUACCGGAUAAUAUUUUGAACCGCAUGGUUCAAAAGUGAAAGACGGUCUUGCUGUCACUUAUAGAUGGAUCCGCGCUGCAUUAGCUAGUUGGUAAGGUAACGGCUUACCAAGGCAACGACGCAUAGCCGACCUGAGAGGGUGAUCGGCCACACUGGAACUGAGACACGGUCCAGACUCCUACGGGAGGCAGCAGUAGGGAAUCUUCCGCAAAGGGCGAAAGCCUGACGGAGCAACGCCGCGUGAGUGAUGAAGGUCUUCGGAUCGUAAAACUCUGUUAUUAGGGAAGAACAUAUGUGUAAGUAACUGUGCACAUCUUGACGGUACCUAAUCAGAAAGCCACGGCUAACUACGUG
rnacentral:rRNA from 1 species